GGGAGAUGCAGGGGACUUAAAUUUUUUCUUUGAUCUAUUUAUCACAACAAGACCACACGGACAAAUAUACGAUGGGGAAACAAAGUAAACUGGAAUCAGUAACACAAUAAAUUUUGUCAUGAAAACCAAAUUGCAGUCUUAGCUCUCUAACAUGUACUAUCUUCACUCCAGCUUUUCCAGUUCCCCCAUUCUUUCAAUGAUCGCCUUUUUGCUCGUUUCUUGGAGUUCUCCAGCAAGAAUAAAUUCAUCAAGU
rnacentral:misc_RNA from 1 species